UACGGGGGGGGUAAGCGUUGUUCGGAAUUACUGGGCGUAAAGGCUCGUAGGCGGCCAACUAAGUCAUACGUGAAAUCCCUCAGCUUAACUGGGGAACUGCGUGUGAUACUGGAUGGCUUGGAUUUGGGAGAGGGAUGCGGAAUUCCAGGUGUAGCGGUGAAAUGUGUAGAUAUCUGGAGGAAUACCGGUGGCGAAGGCGGCAUCCUGGACCGGCAUUGACGCUGAUGAGCGAAAGCUAGGGGAGCAAACGGGG
rnacentral:rRNA from 1 species